UCCUGCCUAGGCUCUUCUUUCUGCUCCUGUCGCCAUGGCCCCGGCCUCGGCGCUCAAGCGACCCUCUCGCUCCGCCCAGACCCCUGGAUGCCCAGCUGCCGCACCUCCCGUGGCCCCACGCUGUGGCUACGUGUUGUCUGAAGACGCCUGGGGAAACCUUCAGGGCCUCUGUACUGGCCUGUCAUGUGGUCAACCAGUGUGAACAUCGAGGUGUCUGGGUUCAUGGAAGCUGGUGAAGAAACCACCUACAACUAUACCAUGUCCUGUCCCUAUUUCACAUGGGCCUCGAGGAAGAUUCUCUGAAGGGAACUACAUGGAGAUCUCCUUGAUUGCACGGUCAACCCCGCUCCUGUCUGUCAGGCUCAGGAACCACUUACAAGCUAUGGCAGGUGAUGUUCCAGCAUCCCACAGGGAGGAUUAUGCUGGUGAGCCACAUGGCCAAGCAGGACUAUGGCUUCAACAGCUCUGGGGCCUGCAUGUUCCUGCAUUAGCCCUACUCCAGCAAUGAGGCUGAAGUUACCAGAGUGACAUCAUGGUAUCUGGUGCAAGCUAUAGCAUCCACCUAUUCUUGGAGCACACGUGGUCAGACACUGAUUGGCAUGUGACCAAGUUGAUGGUGGUCAAAACAGAACUCCUUUCAUGCCCACAAGCUUCAGUAUUACUAUGUUCCCUGCCACUUCCGUUGAAGUUUUGCAGGAUUGGGAUGAUCCUUUGGUGUGAACGAAGCCCCAAAGAGGACCACGUGGAGAGUGCCUGACUGUUCCUGUGAUGUCUUCUAGUACAUGAACAGGAAUGAAACCCACUAUGUCCUCCAUGUGAACUACAUGCUGAGCGUGGGUCCAGAUGGGAAACCAUUCUCCUACCCUGCAGAAAUGGUAUAUAGUUUCAAGGAUGUGGGUAAGUACACCAAGUGAGGUGCUGGUCCUGGACUCAUGGAUGGUCUUGGUACCCAACAAGUUACACUGGCUCUGUCCAAACAACAGCUGUGGAAGCCCCUCCCAUGGGAGGGGGGUCCCACUGGGGCUACACAGAAGUAACUCCUCACAAGUGGCUUGUCUGCAUCCUGGGAUUGGAAACCCAGUAUAGAAGCAGCUGUUGGCAGACUCAUGAAGUAAUACAGAGAAUGGGUGGCUGCUCAUACAAUCAGCAGUAAGACUUCACUUAAAUCAUGCCAGGAAUGACAUGAACAGGACUCAACGUACCCCAUACAGUCUUCCCUCCCAGGUGCCACCACCCCUGAAAUAUUAACCUUGGUAGACUUCUCCUGUCAAGGUCACAGUAAGGGUAGCCAGUGGUAUCAAGACCUUGGUAUAAAUCAGACAUGGCCUUCUUCCCAGCAAGGUCAUUAGGUACCCAAUGUAGAGAUAGCAGGGAAAGGAUAUAAAAACAGGAAAGUUCCAGGUGAGUCAUCUUUUGCCCCUUGACUAGGCCUGCCUAUAGGUUUGACAGCUCCAGGAAGUAAGAAAACAGGUAUAUUGUCUUCCUUCCUAUAGCUCUGCUAGGUGUCAUCCUCUUAAGGUCACUAGGAUUCUAGUGUUGAAGGCUUGCUGCCACACAGAUGGCACUGUUCUAUCCUCAAAGCAUUUUCAGGGUGCCAUCUAAUGGGUCUGAAUCCUGGUUCCAUUGCAAACUUUAAGCAAGGAACUCAGCAUUAUCCAAUCCCCAUUUUCUCCAACUACUGGCCCCCUCUAAGGAGGCUGAAGAGUGAAAGCAUGUUGAACACCAAGAUGCUCUCCAAAGAUGGAGUCCUUCUCUUCUGAGCCCCACAGCUCUGCAAGAUGGGUAAAACUCAAGGUGGCAUUAGGCUCUGAGAGGAGCUCCAUCACACAGCUGGCAUAGUAUGGAGCUGGACCAGAGCCCAAAUCCCCUAUCUCCCCACUGUCCUAACCAAAAGCUUACACUUCAGAACCCAAGGCCGUGAACACAGACCUCACACAGCUGUAACCUGAGAAACUGCCAUUGCUGAUCUAGUGCCAGAACCACUUCCCCAUCCCUGGCUUUCCUGCUGACUUCCCACGAGAUAAGACUUUUCUUUAAAAAGGGGGCCUUCUCAGCCACACGCAGUGGAUCACACUGUAAUCUCAGCACUUUGGGAGGCCGAGGCGGGUGGAUCACUUGAGGCCAGGAGUUCGAGAUCAGCCUGGCCAACAUGGUGAAACCCCAUCUCUACUAAAAAUACCAAAAAAAAAAAAAAAAAAAAAAAAAAAAGCAGGGCAUGGUGGCAUGUACCUGUAAUCACAGCUACCCAGGAGGCACAAGAAUUGCUUGAACCCAAGAUGCAGAGGUUGCAGUGAGCCUGUUUGUACCCCUGCACUCCAGCCUGGGUGACACAGUGAAACCCUGUCUCAAAAAAAAAAAAAGGAGCCUUUGGCCAGGCACAGUGGCUCACACCUGUAAUCCCAGCACUUUGGGAGGCUGAGGCGGGUGGAUCACCUGAGGUCAGGAGUUUGAAACCAGCCUGGCCAAUAUGGUGAAACCCUGUCUCUACU
ensembl:lncRNA LINC00954 long intergenic non-protein coding RNA 954